rnacentral:rRNA from 1 species
CAGUAGCCGCGGGAAUACAGAGGAUGCAAGCGUUAUCCGGAAUGAUUGGGCGUAAAGCGUCUGUAGGUGGCUUUUCAAGUCCGCCGUCAAAUCCCAGGGCUCAACCCUGGACAGGCGGUGGAAACUACCAAGCUGGAGUACGAUAGGGGCAGAGGGAAUUUCCGGUGGAGCGGUGAAAUGCGUUGAGAUCAGAAAGAACACCAACGGCGAAAGCACUCUGCUGGGCCGACACUGACACUGAGAGACGAAAGCUAGGGGAGCAAAUGGGAUUAGAUACCCCGGUAGUCCCUGUCUCUUAUAC